GAUGAAGAACGCAGUGAAAUGCGAUAAGUAAUGUGAAUUGCAGAAUUCAGUGAAUCAUCGAAUCUUUGAACGCACAUUGCGCCCGCCAGUAUUCUGGCGGGCAUGCCUGUUCGAGCGUCAUUUCAACACUCAGGCCCCCAGUGCCUGGUGUUGGGGAUCGGCCCAGCCUUCCUGUAAGGCCGCCGGCCCCGAAAUCUAGUGGCGGUCUCGCUGUAGUCCUCCUCUGCGUAGUAGCACAACCUCGCAGUUGGAACGCGGCGGUGGCCAUGCCGUUAAACACCCCACUUCUGAAAGUUGACCUCGGAUCAGGUAGGAAUACCCGCUGAACUUAAGCAUAUCAUAAGCGGAGGA
rnacentral:misc_RNA from 1 species